rnacentral:rRNA from 1 species
GAUGAACGCUGGCGGCGUGCCUAAUACAUGCAAGUCGAGCGAACAGACGAGGAGCUUGCUCCUCUGACGUUAGCGGCGGACGGGUGAGUAACACGUGGAUAACCUAUCUAUAACACUGGGAUAACUUCGGGAAACCGGAGCUAAUAUCGGAUACUAUAUUGAACCGCAUGGUUCAAUAGUGAAAGACGGUUUUGCUUUCACUGAUAGAUGGAUCCGCGCCGCAUUAGCUAGUUGGUAAGGUAACGGCUUACCAAGGCAACGAGGCGUAGCGGACCUGAUAGGGGGAGCGGCCACACUGGAUCUGGGACACGGUCCAGCCCCGUACGGGAGGCAGGGGUGGGGAAGCUUCCGCAGUGGGCGAAGGCCUAACGUGGCACCGCGGCGGGGGGGAUGAGGUUCUGCGGUUCGUAAAACUAUGUUAUUAGGGAAGAACAAUGGGUAAGUAACUAGGCACGUCUUGACGGUACCUAAUGAGAAAGCCACGGCUAACUACGUG